rnacentral:rRNA from 1 species
UACGUAGGCAGCAAGCGUUGUUCGGAGUUACUGGCGUAAAGGGUGUGUAGGCGGUUCUUUAAGUUUGGUGUGAAAUCUCCCGGCUCAACUGGGAGGGUGCGCCGAAUACUGAGGGACUAGAGUACGGGAGAGGAAAGUGGAAUUCCUGGUGUAGCGGUGAAAUGCGUAGAUAUCAGGAGGAACACCGGUGGUGUAGACGGCUUUCUGGACGUAACUGACGCUGAGACACGAAAGCGUGGGUAGCAAACAGG